GCUGACUCAGGGCUUCUCAGAGACCUUGUGCUACUAAGCUUCCUUUCCAUGUCCAGCCUAACUUUCCGCAAACCUCAGUGACAAUGGGCUUAUUUGACUUUCCUCAUGUUUCUUAUAAGGACACCGAAAGACCAGUGCCACAUCCCUUGCUCUGAACCCUAUCUGUUCAACUUGGGUGAGCACAGGGUUGCACUUGCACCACCACUGCCAUUGGAGUAUCUGCAGGACCAUGGGAGCACACAAGGUUUUCCACCACAUCAACAACAAGCAUUCACUUGCUUUGCCUGGGAACAUUUUGAUAACGGCAGUGGUGAUGGGCCUGGGCUGGCAAGUAGCCAGAGCAUCGCUGCUGGUCCUGUGCUGCUCUCCUGGACAGGCUCCAGUAUGAACUUGAGUUGAAGGAACCAUUCCUGUGGAUGAGCCAUUCUGCAUCCAUGGUUAUGUCUGUUUCACAGCAGGUAUGCCUCUGAAGGGGUUGUGGCCCAAGGAUAAGUCCAUGCAAGAGAAGGUACACUUGGAAGCAUCUGUGGCUGUGGAUCAUCUGUGCUACAGCAGAUGCACCUUGUAGCACCAGUGGCUGUGCACAAGGUUGUGCUGGAGUACCUCAAAGAAUGUGGCCAUGGAUAAGCCCACGACAGAGCAGGAACAACCCUGAAAGGCCUGCAGCAAAGGAUGAGGCCAUGUUGGAACAGGUCUGUUUCUGAAAGGAUUGUGGCUGUGGGUAAGGCCAUGCUGGAGCAGGUCUCUCUCUGAAGCCAUUGGUCCCUGGAGAAGGCCCAGCAGGAACAGGCACCUCCAAGGGAUGGUGGCUUUGGAUAAGUCUAUGCCACAAGUAGGUACGCCCCUGAAGAGACAGUGUCUCACAGACAAGGCAUGGUGCUGGUACCCGCCAAGAGACUGCAGUCUUUGAAUAAGUCUAUAUCCAGCUCAGAUUAUCCAUCUAUCUCCAACUAGGAGAACUUUUGUUUCAAGGUGCUACAGAGCUGAAAAGUUUUGUUUGUUUUAACACAAAUCUCUGGGUUUUUAAACAACUAAUUGUCCCUAUCCUUCCUGUUCAUUGCAGCCUUCCCUGAGUUUUUCUUCAAGCACAAAUAAAUAUUUGACUUACUGCAAUUCUUUAAUUGCUUCCAUUGACUUUUAGCCCCAAGGUGAAGGACAAAGGAAUGGAAUCACAUCCUCACAAUUAUUUGGGUGGAAGCAAGUAAGCAGGGACUUCUUUGUCACCUUUCAGGUCAGCUGCACACCCACAUCAGCAGUACCCUAGAUGAAACAGUGAGCAUCUGGGAUGUACAAUCACAUCUUGACUUCUGCCCAUCAGCUACAAAGACUUUAUUUUAUUAUACAUGUCCUGUGGUCUUCAGGCCCAUGACUGUUUUAAGAAUCAGCAGUAGAAUCUGUGUUAAAUUGCCUAAUGAGCAAAUCUGGAUCACAUUUGUAAUGGUACUUUCAUGUUAAAAUUUUUAUCUAGAAAGAAUUACAGAUAGUAUUCGCUGUGAACUUGGAGAGAAUGGAUGAUGCUUCCUUCAUAACAUCCACCUGUAAUGCUCAAUCUUAUAAGAAGUUAGAUAGAAUUAGAGACACAAUAGUAAGGAAUGCUUUUUUUAUAAAUUAAAGUAAUUCGCAUAAGAUUAGGUUGUGAGCAAUGUACUGUAGGUGACUCUGUUUUGAGUGUUGCAUGACUAGAAAAUCCAAAAAUCAUUAUUAAUGAAAUUCAAAUAAUUAUUUCAUCUCUUCCCUGAUAAAUUUUCUUCUAGAAAAGUCAAGCUGAAAUAUGUAUAGGUAUACAUGCUGGUUAUAUGUUAUGAUUAUAUAGUCAUUCCACAGGUAUUCCAUUAAAGGAAUAUCACUGAUUAAAGUACUUACUCAAUUUUAUAUUGGUAUCCUUCUAGUAUUAUGUCAGUAAUAGUAGGAACACCAAGGGGUCACCUUCUUCUCAUCAUGUAGGUCUUAUUGUCCUCAUGGGACAUUAAAUUUAAGGUGCAGUCUGUAAUGUAAUGUCUGUGGUGUUUCAUCGUGUGACCUACAAAUAUAAAAACAGAACCCAUAAAAUAUAUAAAUGACAGUUACGUUUAUCUUCUAGCUAAUUUGGAAUAAUUAUGUGAAUUAGUGUGAAUGUAUUAUUCUUUUCCUCUGUGGAAAUGUCACCUUUGAUCUUUGGUAACCACUCCCACAUGAACACCACAGAGCAAACAUCACAGAGGAUGGUGUAAAGUUUCUCCCUCCUACUGCCCUGAUGCCUGCAAAGGCCCGUAUUUGACUGUACAAAUAUUUUUUGAAUGUUUCAUAUAUUUGCUCUGGCACGAAUUUUGCAUAUUUUUGCUAGCAAUUUGAGUCCUUAUCCAUAUGCUUUAGCAAACAUAUUCAGAGCUUAUUUAGGGCAGGUAAACAGGUAGGAAACCCCUAAUCCUAAAUCACUUUAUACCAAAUUUCUGUGCAUGGUUCUAGGGGGUACACUUUGCUCCACAGCAUCAGCUCAUCUGAGCAGACCUCAGGGCUUUACUGUGGUCACCUGCUUAGCACAGACACAUCAGCCUACUGCAGAUGUAUGGGUAUGGGAUUGCCCAAGCCCACCAGAUUAAGCUUGACUCAGUUCCCAAAUUUUUGCUCUUCCUCACAGCCUCAAUCUCAAUGGCUUUCAAGCUGUAUAGAUCACCUAUUCAAAGACAAGCUUGAUUUGAAUCACACUGGCAUAUUUUUGGCAAGGGUUCAGAACCUCAUCAAUCUUUAUCAAGCAUGAGAAAGAGCCACUGAUCCAGACAAAAUGACAGCCAGCCACAUGUGCUUCACUGCCUUAGCUGAUUGCUGGGUGGUCACUUAGGUCCAAGGGAUACAAAAGCACCUCCCCCUCUCUCAGUUAAAAGCUUUCUCAAAAACACAGCACACUCUCAUUCCAGCGGCAGACAUUGGGAUCUCUUGUAUUCUUAUUUACCAGUGAGACACCAUCAAUAAGAUCACCUUUUUUUCCCUUUGCAGUGAUACUCCAGCAUCAGUCUUCUCAGAAACCUACUCUGGGUAAAUGCAUUUAGUUUGUCUCUCUGGUAGGCUUUAAAAUAAAAAAUAUGUUUAUCCAGUGCAAAAGCCAAAUCAGUUUAAGCAGAUUUUGGCUUCUUAUGAAUAACAACAUUAGUAGAAUGUAAAGAAAAAAUACAGGCACUUCCCCUGUGGAGAGAUAUAGACAAAGGAGCCACACGCGAGCCUGGGACUCAUGUUGCCUAAGAUAACUUUGGAAAACAAUUUGACAGGCACAACACUCAAAUGUAAGAAAAAUUGAAUAUUUUUUUUUAAUUGCCAAAUACAUGAAGUAUAAAAGAUGCUUUAAAUUUAAUCUAAUUAACUUUUCUAGAGGUGCUGUAUUGGAAGCACAGAUUUAUCUCAGUUCCAGUAGAAGUAAAGCAUUAUGUCAGUUUUACUUAGAAAGACACUCCCUAGUUUAUCAUACCAUAACCAAAUUAAGCUUGAGAACUACUAAUCAGUAAGUGUCUAUUAAACAGCAAAGCAUUAGCCUUAGCAUGUACAAUGCCUUCGGCAUUCAACAGGGCAUAUACUGGAAAGAAGAAUUCCUUUGUCAUUUGGCCAGGGAAGCAAUUAUCUUCGUAGUUCGUGAUUUGUGUAAUAAUCAGUUAAAAUAAGGUGUGUCAUGGGCAGAAGCCUGUGAAAAAAUAAAAGUUCUGGUUCUUAUUUAGCACCUUUAACAUCUUAAAUACGUGCAAAUUCCUGAAACACUGACUGCUAUUCAUAUACCACAGUUUCUCUUUCUGCAGUGCUUCUGCUCCCUCCUUUCUCCUCCAAAAUACACAACUUCAAAAGAAAACUAGAAAUCUUCAGUCACAGUUAAAAAAAUUCUUCACAUUCCAGUUUUCUUUUUCCAAUCCCACAUAUGCACAUAUGGACAUGUUCACAGGUUUAUGCACUGCAUCAACUCCUUGCUCCUAUUUCCAUACUAGCAUGGCAAACAUUUCAGGUCAGAUCUGUGAGCUAGAUAUGUCCAAUGAGUUCUAGCUCACCUUUGAAUACUCUCAGGAGGCAAGGUGAGGGAGCUCUCUGUUCCCUCUUCCUCUCCCUCCUUUCCCUUUUUUUCCCAGAGGAAGAAGUGACACAUGUGCUGUGGUCAACACUAUUAGCAAAUUGUGCCAUCUUGUUUUGCUGUUUCAUAUGCAGCUUAUUUAGAGCUAUUUACACUAAAUAAAGUAUAAGCUGUUACAAACACUAUUUAUUUAGUGCUUACUUAAUAUCCACCCAUAUAAGCGGAGUUACUGGGCAAGCAGGCUAUGAUAUUCCACAUGCAUUAUAGUCCAAGUCAGGUAACUUACACUUAAUUUCCUUGCAUGGCUGUUGCUACAAAUUACAACAGCAUUUUGCUGUUAGUAGCAAAAAAAGGCUUCACUACUGGUAUGAUACCAAGUAAUAGAAACUACUCCUAUAUAUUAUUUUCCCAUUACAUCAUUUUACUGAACAGAAAAGUAGUAAUAACUGAUAUACAAUACCUAAUAGAUCAAAUUUCAGGUCACCAUCUAUAU
rnacentral:lncRNA from 1 species